rnacentral:lncRNA from 1 species
GCUCUUGUCAUUAUGCCUAAGCUCAUUUUGUGCUACUGGUCACGCAGAAGCUGUGAAGAAAAAGAAGUUCAAGUGACUGGUCCAAAAUCACACAGCCGCAUUGAUGCUCAACUGGCAACAGGGACUUGCUUCCUCCAGUGCACCACACCAUCGCUUUACAUCACACAGCUUGCAACGAUAGAAGACGAAGCAACAAUGCUUUUUAUUGACCCCCAGCGUCACUUGCUUGUUCAGCAGUCUAAAGGUCUCAAAGAGACAACAUCUGUGUUGAAGAAAUAGAAGCAACCACCAUGUCUGCUAGAGCCAAGCCCUGCCAAGGCCGCUCACAGUAAUUGGGCUUUCUUUGAACGCAGCAUCUGCUCACAUACAUCCUCUUCUAAGAUCACAUUGUAAAGGCCGGGAUGGAAAAGGAGGAUGAAAGAAGAGAUGACAGAUAUAUGGACAGUCAGAGUUUUAAUACCAGUUUACGAUGGUUUCAGCCCAAGCCAAAUUCCCUCCUUUUAUUGUUAAACCUGGUAGUUCUGCUCUGAUUCUUGUUAUUGCUCCUGGCUGGAAGAUCUUGGGGGUUUGGCACCUCACUGUUCACCUCUUAAGAUUUUGAUUUCUUCAAAGAGAAAAGUUCCAGAAAAAAGCUGAAUGAAAUGGUUCAAGGUAGGAGCAGCCCCUUCCCACCUCAUGCCUUUACACUGCUAACACUGAUAAGAAACUCCUGGGAAAUGCCUUUCUGAUGUUGUUUCAAAGGAAACUGUUUCCUCAAUGGAAAGUUCACUCAAUGAGAAAAUCCCGUCUGCAAUUUUUGAGUAACAGUGGGUUUUGUAUUAGCGUGAUCUGUCCAUAGUCAGUGCUACGAGUAGACAUUUUUCUUACUCUUACUUUUUGUUAUCUCAUCAAGAAAAGACUUUGGAAGAACAGGCGAAGACAUUUAUCAGUAGAAAUCCAAUUGCUUUUCUCUGUUCUCUCCUGUGUUAUUGGACUAAUGCACUAAUGUAAAAGUGUUUUGAGAAUUUCCACUCCCUGAGAGUAUUGUGAUACUUCCAUACUUAUCCAUCUUAAUUUUGCAGAACACCAAUCAAAAUGUAGGAAUUCUUAUUAUUAUCAUUUGUGUGUAUAUGUGCUUAUAUAUGUUUGUUAGUAGGUUUUUUGCUUUUUUUUUUUUUUUUUCAACUGAGUACUCCAUUUCACUUAAAUGGAACAAUAAAUGAAGCAGUUCCCUGUGGAAGACA